rnacentral:lncRNA from 1 species
CAGAGUCUCACCUCCUUUGUGUAUUAAGAAUUAAAUCUCUCAAAGAUUCUCUCACUACUACAGAUGAUCCCUCUGACAUCCUCACAUGAGUAAUGCCAGUUUGCAGAAUCUGGGCCUCACGUUGCAGGAGGUAGUCACAGAAAAGGGAUGGAAAUGACAUUCAUCUGUCUUCACAACAUCUCUGAAACCUUGUUUACAAGGAAGACAAGUUGCACCAAAGCAAAUAAGACUGGAGCUGUUGACAGACAAGAUGCAGUCAGGAAUUUUUAAUCAAGAGACCAUGUUUGCUGAAGUGACUGUUCACAUCUUUCCUAUGAAAUAAUUCAACUAUCUAUAUUUUCCCUCCCAUUGGAAGUGAAGGUUGCUGAUGUGAUGGCCUCCUAAAAUGAUGCAAUGGAAUACUACUCUGGAGUAUGAAACAUUUUACCGAGAAGAGGAAUAUGCAGCCUUUGUAAUUUCUCCUUCUUGCACUGCUAUAAAGGCUGGGGUCUCUUUUAUGUUUGUGGUAGAAGAGCAUAAUUCCAUCCCCUUGGUUAGCAGUGAAUGCUUGGAGUGGAAUAUGCUACUUAGAACGAGAGAAAGUUUAGGGAUAGAUUAAUAGACUUUUGUGUUAACUGUCUAGUCUUUGGCUGAUAAUAAAAAAAUUUAGAAAUAUAGGCA